rnacentral:rRNA from 1 species
GACGAACGCUGGCGGCGUGCUUAACACAUGCAAGUCGAACGGAAAGGCCCUGCUUUUGUGGGGUGCUCGAGUGGCGAACGGGUGAGUAACACGUGAGUAACCUGCCCUUGACUUUGGGAUAACUUCAGGAAACUGGGGUUAAUACCGGAUAGGAGCUCCUGCUGCAUGGUGGGGGUUGGAAAGUUUCGGCGGUUGGGGAUGGACUGGCGGUUUAUCAGCUUGUUGGUGGGGUAUUGGCUUACCAAGGCUUUGACGGGUGGCCGGCCUGGGCGGGUGACCGGCCCCGUUGGGACUGAGAUACGGCCCAGACUCCUACGGGAGGCAGCAGUGGGAAAAAUUGCACAGUGGGCGGAGGCCUGAUGCGGCAACGCCGCGUGCGGGAUGACGGCCUUCGGGUUGUAAACCGCUUUCGCCUGUGACGAGGCGGGGGUGACGGUAAUGGGUGAAGAAGCACCGGCUAACUACGUG